CCCCUCGCGCAGCAAGAUCCUCGAGCUCCCUUGGGGGUCCCCUCCAGGGUGAAAACUUCCAACUCUCAGACACACAGGGCUGUCUCGACUCUCGCGCACGCGCACUGCGACCCGCAGGUCGGCCGCGAACUGAAAGCAUCUUGAAAGAAGGGGAGGGACCCUAAACCGCGGUCUGGUAGGUCACCGGGGCAACUGAUCAACCCGAGGUAGCCGCUGCCGCCAGGGACAACCCCAAAACAGGGAUUGUAGAACCAAAAGGUUGGGAGAGGUCCCACCGAGAUUUGAACUCGGAUCGCUGGAUUCAAAGUCCAGAGUGCUAACCAUUACACCAUGGGACCGGCUGGCUGCUCUAUGCGGCCAGGAGCCUUCUCAAGCCACAUAGCGGAAGCGCCGCGCUGCCUUUCGAAGACGGUGGUGGAUGCCGGAUCUAUUGGGCCCGGACCCUGGGCUCUCGGCCGCGGGCUGCCCGGGCGAGCGGGAGCGGAGCAGCGAGAGCUUCUGCGUCCCCGGAGUUCCAGACGAUCCUGGCCCCGGGGUAUCAUCUUCGCUGCCUCUUUUCCUACUCUCCUCACCGUGUCUGGGAGAAGCCCGGAGGGCUGCCGGCAGGCACGUUUUAUUGAGAUAUAAUUGACCUGCAGCACUGUAGAAGUUUAAGAUGGAGACCAGAAUGAUUUGACUUAUAUACAUCAUAAAAUGAUUAUCAUACAAGACUUCUCAGAGCCUUUAAUAUACUAAUGUGAAUUGCGACUUUCCAAGAGGAAGAUACAGCAUGCAGUAUUUUUCCAAAUUCUCUGACCACCUAAACAUAUGUCACGAAGUCUCCUUAAUAUGUCACAGACACAUUUUCAGAGACCCAGAACUACCCUGGGCCAUCUUCAGUAGGAAGGAGUAGAAACCAAAAGGCAGAGCUAGUGCCGCAGCUGAGGAAUCUGCCAACUCCCAAGAUAACGGAGAGCGCCACUCUGCAGAUGACAUGGCUCUUGAGUGGUCAGCAACUGGUUUCAAGGCCCUGGAACUUAGUGGCUUUGCCACUGCACUUACCCUGUUUAUUGUAGCACCUCAGCACAUUGUCCAAGUUCAAUCCUGGGCACUCUGGAAUGUGUCUUUGUGAUAGGGAGUCUGAUGCCAGGGAAACCUUUGUUCUGACAGACAGUGGACCACCUCAGUGGUCUCCUCCCUCCAACUGCCUGCAGCCCAGCCAUCUGCCAGGCUCCGGUGAGCUGACUCCACAGAGCCUUCCUCAGCUGCUCAGGCCCUUGUGACUUAUUCCCUCCUCCGAGCCUCUGACCUGGGCCGCCCAAUUCUACUAGUGGACCUACCUGAACCAGGCUGCCACUUCCUCGAGGCAAGGACCUUGGGAUAUUCACAUUAUUUGAGCUCACAAGGUAGGACUAAAUAAAAAUUCGUGAAUGACAGUGAUGUUGGAGAUGAUCUGUGAUACCAUUUCCACCAAAUAACCCACAAGGACUCAGCAGCCAUCUUUUUAACCAAGGAUACCAACCCAUCAUAUACUUUCCUAUGACAUGAAAUGAGAUGAUGUGACAUACUGCAUUUACAGAUGCUUCAUAAAUGGCGAAGCAUCAUACAAAAGCAGGCAAUAAUUGGUAAUAAUCCAGUCUCCAUUGCCCUGAUCAGUGAUUGGUCCGUUUCUAAUGACCUUAGCUUUUGAUUGGUAUUUCCAGUAAUUGAGCCAGACCCACCUCCCCGACCCACUAGCUGAGUAUUGCAAUGUUCAUCUUAUCUGGAGUUUAAAUUUGGAUAGCCUAACCACCGAUUCCUCUCUUUUAGAUACCCACAACCAGUCACCCUAGUGCUUUUCUGAUGACCAGACACCUUUAUGUAGAGCAGUGCAGAUGGUUCUUGAAGUAGUGGAGAGCCAGCUUGAACUGGACCUGGCCUUUGGUGUUGGCCCGGUAUGUGCUGUAGGUCUUCUCCAGGGUUGCCAGCUCUGGGUCCACCACUGAAGAACGGGACUGGUGACCUAUAAUCACGUUUGAGCAUGACCCCACAAGCAGGCUCCCGAGCCCAUCAAUGAAGAACUCUGCCAGGAGAGAGAGUGCGGGAAGGAAAUGUGAGCUUCCACCAGAGACCCAGGGUCCUACUGCAGGUCUGGGAGAAGGGUUAAAGGGAGGGGACACCGAUUAUACCCCUGGGGAUAUGGGGAGGUUCAGCCCCAUGAGAAGCCACCUGCCCAGGCUAAUGAGUUGGAAGGACAUACAGAGAGAUGGGCAGAGAGACACAGAUGGGCUUCUAACUGGACGGAACCGUGGAUUCCAGGACUGAAGGGAAGGAGAGGGGAAAGAGGGGCAGCUCUGCGGCUAUAGCUAAACAGGAAAAGAUGUCUGGAAAAGGAGGAGCAGUGACAAGGUGUGAAAAGAGGGAGGGGACAGCUAUAGGGAGAGGAAGGGGAAGGGUGUCUCAGAGAAGCAGGAACAGCCUCUGGGAGACAAGGAGUCAGAGAGGGUGAAGAGCUCGCGAGCUCCCUGGUUUGCGGAGAAAGGACAAGUUCCCGAGAGCAGCGGCACACGGCUUUCCCUCGGAAAGAACAGACCCCUGAGGUCAGUCCACAGCCCACGUGCCCGUCCUCACUCAUCCAGCCGCCCCACCUGAGUGAGCCACCCGCUGCAGGCGGGGGUCGAAGCCGACCCUUUGGAGUCGCUCUGUGUGGGCCAGGAAGAAGUUGACGACGCCACUGGUCACCACGCAGCUGGGGAAGCCGUCCAGGGGCCGGAAGAAUCCUGACCUCCGGUGGAGACAGUCCCCAUUCUCACCGCGCUCCAGCAACAGCUUAAACUGGAACACGUUUCCAAGCACGCUGCCGCCUACCUGGCCGGUGGGCAGAGAAAUCUAUGUUAGAGAAAGAAGACUCAACAUCCACAGAGCCUCUGCCAGGAAGUCUUACCGGACUGAACCUCAGCUACAACAAGAAUCAUGCCCUUUCUCUAUCUACCCGUCAUAUUACACUUAUACCCAGCCCAGACUGCAAACAACUUCUCUGCUCCGCGGACCCUACAGCAAGCUCACUCCUUUCAGAAGGCAAUUCAUUCCCUUCCGUCAGGAGGAGGGGUAUUUGGAUGCAGCUGAGGACCACAAAGCUGCAUGAACAGCGGGGAAGGAAUCUGGUCCAGGACGACCCUGCAAGCAGAGUCUAGUGCCAGCCUGGAUUCUUACACAGGCGGGAAGUACACCUUCUAUGUUGUUUAUGCUAUACUGAUUGAGUAGCUAAGAGACAUCUUAGUUAAUCCAGAUGCUUUGGGAACUGUCCACCUGGAGUGAGAGGACUGGUCACGAUGCUACUUUUUAUCCAUUUUCUUUUUUUUAUUAUUAACCAUUUUAUUGAGAUAUCUUUGACAUAUUAAAAUUAUAUAUAUAUUUUAAUUUAUACAGCCUGAUGUUUUGAUAUCAGUAUACACUGUGAAAAGAUCACCUCACCCAAGCUUAUUAACAAAUCCAUCCCCUCUGUGUAGUAUAGCUAUCUUCAGAAAUUUCGAGAACACAAUGCAGUAUUAUUAACUCUUGUCACCGUUUUCUUCCCUUUUCUAUAUGUAGAUUGACUUUUGAUGUUUUGCUAUUUUUUUUAAUGUUAUUAAGGCCAUGUGUGCUUUUACACCUUUGCACCACUGACAUUUUUUUAAUGGUGUGUGGCAGAACCAGAGCACCACUCGCUUUUGUCCCAUCCCAGUCCAGGGAGGAAGUUAGAACUGACGCAUAAACACACCAUUUUAAAGACAAGAAUGUUGAAGCACUGCCUAUUCCUGAGAGCCAACAAUGGAGCCACCUGCAGCUGAUCAAAAAAGUUUGAGGAUUUCUGGAAAUUAUCAGUGAUCAUGAGACAAACCCUCCUUUUUGUUACAAAAGCAAUUCGCCCUUUCUACUCUGGGAGCUGGCCCUUUUUUCCUGUCUUCUCCCUUGUGCACAAGCCAUCUAUUUGAAUAAAAAGUUUUGCUUG